rnacentral:rRNA from 1 species
UACAGAGGUCUCAAGCGUUGUUCGGAUUCAUUGGGCGUAAAGGGUGCGUAGGCGGCGCGGCAAGUCGGGUGUGAAAUCUUGGAGCUUAACUCCGAAACUGCAUUCGAUACUGCCGUGCUUGAGGACUGGAGAGGAGACUGGAAUUUACGGUGUAGCGGUGAAAUGCGUAGAUAUCUGGAGGAACACCGGUGGCGAAGGCGGCAUCCUGGACCAACACUGACGCUGAGUGAGCGAAAGCCAGGGGAGCAAACGGG